rnacentral:piRNA from 1 species
UCCUCUCGAAUGUUCACUCUCUUCCAAAUC